AUUGAACGCUGGCGGCAUGCCUUACACAUGCAAGUCGAACGGUAACAGCACUUCGGUGGCUGACGAGUGGCGAACGGGUGAGUAAUACAUCGGAACGUGCCCGAGAGUGGGGGAUAACGCAGCGAAAGCUGUGCUAAUACCGCAUACGAUCUACGGAUGAAAGCAGGGGACCGCAAGGCCUUGCGCUCAUGGAGCGGCCGAUGGCAGAUUAGGUAGUUGGUGGGAUAAAAGCUUACCAAGCCGACGAUCUGUAGCUGGUCUGAGAGGACGACCAGCCACACUGGGACUGAGACACGGCCCAGACUCCUACGGGAGGCAGCAGUGGGGAAUUUUGGACAAUGGGGGAAACCCUGAUCCAGCCAUGCCGCGUGCAGGAUGAAGGCCUUCGGUUGUAAACUGCUUUGUACGGAACGAAAGGUACUUCUAAUAAAGAAGGGCGUCAUGACGGUACCGUAAGAAUAAGCACCGGCUAACUACGUGCCAGCAGCCGC
rnacentral:rRNA from 1 species